UACGGGAGGCAGCAGUGGGGAAUAUUGCACAAUGGGCGCAAGCCUGAUGCAGCCAUGCCGCGUGUAUGAAAAAGGCCUUCGGGUUGUAAAGUACUUUCAGUCGUGAGGAAGGUGUUAAGGUUAAUAACCUUAGCAAUUGACGUUAGCGACAGAAGAAGCACCGGCUAACUCCGUGCCAGCAGCCGCGGUAAUACGGAGGGUGCGAGCGUUAAUCGGAAUUACUGGGCGUAAAGGGCACGCAGGCGGUUAAUUAAGUUGGAUGUGAAAUCCCCGGGCUUAACCUGGGAAUGGCAUUCAAGACUGGUUAGCUAGAGUCUUGUAGAGGGGGUAGAAUUCCGAUGUGUAGCGGUGAAAUGCGUAGAGAUGUGGAGGAAUACCGGUGGCGAAGGCGGCCCCUGGGACAAAGACUGACGCUCAUGUGCGAAAGCGUGGGGAGCGAAACAGGGAUUAGAUACC
rnacentral:rRNA from 1 species